rnacentral:lncRNA from 1 species
CAGUAUACAACCUCUAGCGCCGCAGCAGCCAGAGUCCCCUUCGAACGGGUUGCGCCUCCACACGUGUGUGCACCUCCGUCUGUUGCUCUAAGCUGGCCUCCAAACUUGCAACAAACAGCAACAACAGAAAAAAGGCAACAAAAAUGCGAGAAAAUAGGGGAUAACAGAAAAAUAGCAUAAAUUUUAUUAUUUUUGGCUAUAAAAAGCUAUUACGAAAUCUGUGAAGGGGGGAUGAAAUUAGAAAACGAAAAAAAAUUGAAAAAAGCAAUAAAAACAGAGAUUUCGAAAGGUGAUUGGAUUUUUUUUCCUCUUUUCCCUUUCUUUCGAUUAUUUUCUUGUUAAUUUACCUUAGAUCCUGAUUUGUUUUGUUUGUUGGGUGUAAAAAGAUAGCAAAGAAGAAGAAGAGAGCUUACCUUUGCAACUAGGCCGUUUGAGCCCUGUCCAUCUUUGUCAAAAUCGAAGAUCGGACGGGGUGAUAGUGUUUAAAUCGGCGCAAAUUUUUCUUGAAGGGAGAAGGCUAGGGUUAAAACCCUAGCAGAGAAUUCCCCUCCCCUCUGUUUUCUUCUUCUUUUAAAAAAAUGAAAUAGAUCAUUUUUUAAAUUUUUUUAAUUUUUAUUUAAGUAUAAAAAGGAAACAACGCCGUUUUGUGUUAGUGCCUUCAGUGCCAAAACGACGUCGUAAGGCUGAGACCCGCGAGGUGACCCGACCCGAGGGGAGGAUCCGCGUCUUUUGUUUGUUGGUCUAUUUGCGCAACAAGUCCCUCUAUUUUUGUGUAGUUUCAAUUUGAUUUUCUUUAAUUUUUUAAUUUGUAUCGCAUAUUUGAUUCCGAUUUCAUUUGGAUCCAAGUUUAAACGGUGUCAUUUUCUACAAUUAAUUUUGAAUAUUCAGAUUUGUGCGCUUAAUUGCAGCAAUAGUCCCUUUGGUAUUCACUGGUCCUCAAUUCGGUCGUUUUCACACUUAUUUCAAAGUUGCCCUUGAGAUUUUGUUUUAUUUUCAAAAUUGUCCUUGUUUACUAUUUUUUAAUUUAUUAUUAUUAUUAUUAUUAAUGUUACUGCUAUUAUAAUUAUUAGUAUUAUUGUUUGUAUUAGUUUCUAUGUUUAUUUAC